rnacentral:lncRNA from 1 species
AUUGUUUGAUUUGAAGCCUGAGGAAAAAGUUCAGCUCUCCCAUCAUGCUCAUCUCAAAUUCACUCUGCAUCAAAUCAGCAAAUUCCUCGCAGAGGCGAUUGUUAGUAGCACCGAAAAUAAUAUCAUCAACAUAAAUUUGCACUACUAACAUAUCUUUGUUUUUCUUCUUUAGAAACAGUGUUGUAUCUAUAUUUCCCCUA